rnacentral:rRNA from 1 species
GACGAACGCUGGCGGCGUGCUUAACACAUGCAAGUCGAACGGGAGUAUCGAAGAAGCUUGCUUUUAAGAUACUUUAGUGGCGGACGGGUGAGUAACGCGCGAGGAGCUGUCCUAUGCAGGGGGACAACAGUUGGAAACGACUGCUAAUACCCCAUAAGCCGAGAGGUAAAAGGAUUUAUCCGGCAGAGGAGGUACUCGCGUCCUAUCAGCUAGUAGGUGAGGUAACGGCUCACCUAGGCGAAGACGGGUAGCCGGCCUGAGAGGGCGAACGGCCACACUGGAACUGAGAUACGGUCCAGACUCCUACGGGAGGCAGCAGUGGGGAAUAUUGGGCAAUGGGGGAAACCCUGACCCAGCGACGCCGCGUGGGUGAAGAAAUCCUUCGGGAUGUAAAGCCCUGUUGUAUGGGAAGAGCAGAAGACGGUACCACACGAGGAAGCCCCGGCAAACUACGUGCCAGCCGCCGCAGUAAGAC